rnacentral:rRNA from 1 species
UGCAAGUCGAGCGGACGUUUUUGAAGCUUGCUUCAAAAACGUUAGCGGCGGACGGGUGAGUAACACGUGGGCAACCUACCUUAUCGACUGGGAUAACUCCGGGAAACCGGGGCUAAUACCGGAUAAYAUCUAGCACCUCCUGGUGCCGGAUURAAAGAGGGCUUCUUGCUCUCACGAUGAGAUGGGCCCGCGGCGCAUUAGCUAGUUGGAGAGGUAACGGCUCCCCAAGGCGACGAUGCGUAGCCGACCUGAGAGGGUGAUCGGCCACACUGGGACUGAGACACGGCCCAGACUCCUACGGGAGGCAGCAGUAGGGAAUCUUCCGCAAUGGACGAAAGUCUGACGGAGCAACGCCGCGUGAGUGAUGAAGGGUUUCGGCUCGUAAAGCUCUGUUAUGAGGGAAGAACACGUACCGUUCGAAUAGGGCGGUACCUUGACGGUACCUCAUCAGAAAGCCACGGCUAACUACGUGCCAGCAGCCGCGGUAAUACGUAGGUGGCAAGCGUUGUCCGGAAUUAUUGGGCGUAAAGCGCGCGCAGGCGGCCUUUUAAGUCUGAUGUGAAAUCUUGCGGCUCAACCGCAAGCGGCCAUUGGAAACUGGGAGGCUUGAGUACAGAAGAGGAGAGUGGAAUUCCACGUGUAGCGGUGAAAUGCGUAGAUAUGUGGAGGAACACCAGUGGCGAAGGCGACUCUCUGGUCUGUAACUGACGCUGAGGCGCGAAAGCGUGGGGAGCAAACAGGAUUAGAUACCCUGGUAGUCCACGCCGUAAACGAUGAGUGCUAGGUGUUAGGGGUUUCGAUGCCCGUAGUGCCGAAGUUAACACAUUAAGCACUCCGCCUGGGGAGUACGGCCGCAAGGCUGAAACUCAAAGGAAUUGACGGGGGCCCGCACAAGCAGUGGAGCAUGUGGUUUAAUUCGAAGCAACGCGAAGAACCUUACCAGGUCUUGACAUCCUUUGACCACUCUGGAGACAGAGCUUCCCCUUCGGGGGCAAAGUGACAGGUGGUGCAUGGUUGUCGUCAGCUCGUGUCGUGAGAUGUUGGGUUAAGUCCCGCAACGAGCGCAACCCUUGACCUUAGUUGCCAGCAUUUAGUUGGGCACUCUAAGGUGACUGCCGUGACAACCGGAGGAAGGUGGGGAUGACGUCAAUCAUCUGCCCU